GUGGUAGAGGCAGUGGUAGUGGUAGAGAUAUAUAUAGUGGUAGAAGUAGAGGUAGUGGUAGAGAUAGUGGUAGUGGUAGAGAUAGUGGUACUAGUAGAGGUAGAGGUAGUGUUAGAAGUAUUGGUAGAGAUAGUGGUAGUGGUAGAGAUAGAGGUAGUGGUAGAGAUAGUGGUAGCGGUACUAGUAGAGGUAGAGGUAGUGGUAGAGGUAGUGGUAGAGGUAGAGGUAGAGGUAGAGGCAGAGGUACUGGUAGAGGUAGAAGUAGAGGUGGAAGUAGAAGUAGAGGUAGAGGUGGUGGUAGAGGUGGAGGUAGAGGCAGUGGUAGAGAUAGAGGUAGAGGUAGAGGUAGAGGCAGAGGUAGUGGUAGAGGUAGAGGCAGUGGUAGUGGUAGUGGUAGUGGUAGAAAUAGAAGUAGAGGUAGAGGUGGUGGUAGAGUUAGAGGUAGUGGUAGAGGUAGAGGUAGUGAUAGAGAUAGAGGUAGUGGUAGAGGUAGAGGUAGUGGUAGAGAUAGAGGUAGUGGUAGAGGUAGAAGUAGUGGUAUAGGUAGUGGUAUAGGUAGUGGUAGUGGUAGAGGUAGUGUUAGAGGUAGAAGUAAUGGUAGUGGAAGUGGUA
ensembl:lncRNA